UACAGAGGGUGCAAGCGUUAAUCGGAAUUACUGGGCGUAAAGCGUGCGUAGACGGUAGCGUAAGUCGGGUGUGAAAGCCCCGGGCUCAACCUGGGAAUUGCAUUCGAGACUGCUCUGCUAGGGUGCGGAAGAGGGAAGCGGAAUUUCCGGUGUAGCGGUGAAAUGCGUAGAUAUCGGAAGGAACACCAGUGGCGAAAGCGGCUUCCUGGUCCAGCACCGACGUUCAGGCACGAAAGCGUGGGGAGCAA
rnacentral:rRNA from 1 species